UACGUAGGUGGCAAGCGUUGUCCGGAAUUAUUGGGCGUAAAGCGCGCGCAGGCGGCCUUUUAAGUCUGAUGUGAAAGCCCACGGCUCAACCGUGGAAGGUCAUUGGAAACUGAAAGGCUUGAGUACAGAAGAGGAAAGCGGAAUUCCACGUGUAGCGGUGAAAUGCGUAGAGAUGUGGAGGAACACCAGUGGCGAAGGCGGCUUUCUGGUCUGUAACUGACGCUGAGGCGCGAAAGCGUGGGGGGCAAACAGG
rnacentral:rRNA from 1 species